AAAGACUAAGAAUAUUUCAAAAUGAAGUUGUCUCAGUUAGGGGACAAUGAGGAAGAGGAAGAAGAAGAAACUUGUGUUGCUUUGUUGGCAAAGAGACAAAUACAAAAGAAGAAGUGGAUUACACAUCAGUGUCCUUCUGAGAAAAACUGGGGACUCACUAUCACACAACUGUCACUGUUCAGUCAGUUGGUAAAACAUGGCGAGGUUUGUCCAUCGAGAGCAAUCGGAGAUCACUGACUAUGUAAAUCUACCUGAACCAUCAGCCAGGAGUGCUGGCCAGGACGGGGGAGCGACUGCUGCCGGGUCUGGUGGAAAACUGUACAGAGCUGUUGCUGUGAGCUUUGGACUGCUGUGUAUCCUACAAGCUGCUCUCAACAUUUCGCUGCGUCUCUACACCUUUUACAGUAAGACACCAGACAUAGCGCUCAGUUGCACAAACCUGACUGGUGUUCUGAGGAGAGAACUCAUUACCUUCGACUUCCGUACUGAUGUCACAACUAUACUUUAAUUAGAUCGCUUUUCCCAAGAAGGAUGGGUGUAUUUCCGUCGCAGUUUCUAUUACAUUUCCACUAAUCAGACAUCCUGGCACAAAGGCAGAGCUGACUGUCUGCAGAGAGAAGCAGACCUGGUGAUUAUCAACAGCAAACAAGAGCAGGAUUUCACAAGACAAUUCAAUAAGGUCUCAUGGAUUGGACUGACCCCCAAAUUAACCAACGGGAAGUGGAAAUGGGUGGAUGACACUCCGCUGACCGAAAGCUACUGGAGCCCUGGGGAGCCAAAUGGUUUUGAAGGCAAAGAUGAAGACUGUAGAAACAAGGUUCCUUGAUAUGGAGAACAGCUGGAAUGAUAUACCAUGUACUGAUCAAAACUUCUGGAUCUGUGAGAAGAUGAUAGCUUUAUAACACAGCAUAUAAAACCCUGAAAAAUGUUUAAUCUGGAUCCACAAAUUCACAUAUCACACAACGAUAUAGGUCAUUUAUUCCUACCCUUUUAAACGCAACACUCGCAGUUUGAAACUUGUCGUUAAUAUUAUGACACAUGGGGCGGCCUCUAGCUCAUCCGGUAAGGACGUGCGCCCCAUGUAGGCUGAGUCCUUUGCAUCGGUCCGGGUUUGAAUCCAACCUGUGG